UUAUUCUCUUUUGUCCUUUUGAAGAAGCAAAAUUGAAGAACCCUUGCGUUUAGGAACAAUGGCGCUUUACUCUGCGUUUCGAGAACGACUGGAGCAAAUGGAAAGUACCAGAAAUCAACGUCUCUCUCUUCUCCAGGCAGAGAAAGAAUUGCAAACGAGCAAGUCUCGGAUGUUAGCAUCGAAUUUGGUAAAUAUUCGGUCCAUUGAACAAAGGUGUUUGGUUCUUGUCCACAAAAUUGCAUUUCAGAACUUCAAAAUCUUGGUUCUUAAAUCGGAAAUCGAGAGCCUUGAUGCUAAAUACGAUGCUGAUUCACAAGAAUUCAGGGUUUUGAAGAGUGAAGUAGAGGAGAUGGAGGAGAUGGAGAAGGAGAAGGAGAGUUUUUACCAGGUAAAAGGUCUUGAUAUGAAGGCUUUUAGCGAAAAUGUGGAUAAGUUUGUUAAGGAAUGUCGUAUUCAAGUGAAUGAGUUACGGAAUCAUGUGAAUGAGCUUAACUCAAUAUUCAUAAAACUUCAAGGGAACAAUGGGUUCUUGAGCAAUUCUGAGAUAGCUGAAGCAGAGAUGAGAAAAUCGCAACUUUUUGCCGUAAAGGAGAGUUUGGACACAAGUUUGGCUUCGAACUACCAGUUGAGAUCACAAUUGCAGAAGGAGCUUGAUAAUGUUUUGAUCAUAAGAAAUCAAGAGAGCAUGAAAGUGUCCCAGUUUCACUGAAAACAAUGGUUUAAUCGAGUAAACAAUCAGAGGGUGUCACGGCCAUGAAUUAAUUUUCUGAAACAUAAUUGAAGACGAGGGAAAAGGAAACAGAACAACUGGAACUGAACUCACACGAUACCAUUUUUUCUUUGGAACUAGAAAACAAUUUAAAUAACAGAGGCUUCUGUUCUACACUUUACGAAUGAGAAUACAAGUUUAGUUUCUUAUCAAAACAAGUUUCGUUUCAUGAAAUGUGCUUUUAA